CCUACGGGUGGCAGCAGUGAGGAAUAUUGGUCAAUGGACGCAAGUCUGAACCAGCCAUGCCGCGUGCAGGAAGACGGCUCUAUGAGUUGUAAACUUCUUUUAUACAAGGGUAAACGCAGGUACGUGUAUCUGUCUGACAGUAUCUUAUGAAUAAGGAUCGGAUAACUCCGUGCCAGCAGCCGCGGUAAUACGGAGAGUGCAAGCGUUAUCCGGAUUUAUUGGGUUUAAAGGGUGCGUAGGUGGUCGGUUAAGUCAGAGGUGAAAUCCAGCGGCUUAGCGUUGCAAUUGCCUGUGAUAGAGUUAGGCUAGAGAGUAGUUGCGGUAGGCGGAAUGGGUGGUGUAGCGGUGAAAUGCUUA
rnacentral:rRNA from 1 species